GUAGCAACCAGUGGGACACAUACAGCUGCUAUAACAAAAUCAGGUGAACUUUAUACUUGGGGCCGAGAUGAAGGGGAUGGUCGCUUGGGCCUUGGACCAGGUCGAGGCCACAAUGAAGCAGGUGGUCUUAGCAUCCCUUUAAAAGUAAAAUCACUUCCUACAGGUGUAGCUGCUGUUUCAUGUGGUGGGUUUUUCACAAUGGCACUUUCAGAAGAGGGAGAGCUCUGGAAUUGGGGAGCCAAUUCAAACUAUGAGCUGGGAAGAGGUGACAAAUUAGGUGGUUGGAAACCACAACCAGUUCCAAGCCUUAAAGGUGUUCGUGUUAUUCAGAUAGCUAGUGGGGGAUAUCAUUCUCUAGCUUUGACUGAUAAAGGAGAAGUGCUUUCAUGGGGUCAUGGAGGCCAUGGUCAACUGGGUAAUUCUUCUCUUCAAAACCAGAAAGUUCCCAUCCAAGUUGAGGCUUUGGCCCACGAGAAAGUCAUCUAUAUAUCUUGUGGAGGUUCAUCGUCGGCAGCUAUAACAGAUGGUGGGAAACUGUACAUGUGGGGCUAUGCAAAAGAUUGUCAACUGGGUGUUCCAGGAUUGCCGGAG
rnacentral:misc_RNA from 1 species